UCCUCAGAACUGCACUGCAUGUAGGUACCAAGAUAUAUUCGGCCAUAAGUUUUUUAAGUGAGGGUGCAAGUAACCAUAAGGGAUGACAGGAGGAAAUGACCUGUCAGCUGCCAGAAAAGACCCUUAAACCAAGUCAUGCGCUUGCUGUGUUUGUUACGACAAGUCAGUUAUUCCUUUGGGUUUGAGGGAUUUUAUUGUUUUUUCCUGACACCAAGCUACACAUCUUGUAUUUUAACAUUAUUACACUGCGUAACACAGUGCCCUUUAAGUAGUAUGGGAUUUCAUUUCCUGAAUGCAAACUAGACUGCAGGAGAGGUUAAUAAGCAGAAUAGAGAAUUAUCUGUUUCAUGUAGGCUAUAAAUUUAACAGUGUGUGAGUUUUUCUUUUUGGCUCUUAUCCAGUUACUCUUCUUUGUACAUAAAGCCUUGGUCCCCAGCACACCAGUGAAUUGUUGUAAAAAAGGCAUAAUAUUCUGAAACCUCAUAAAAAGAGAGAAAAGCAGCAACAAUUAAACCACACGCAUAGAGCUAUCUCCUGUAUGAUUGUUUCCCAUAAAAGUCAAUUUUAUUUCACUUCUAAAAUUACUCAGACGAACACAAAAUGACUGAUCGUUGCAUUAGAUGUUGUUCAUAGCAUAUAUUUAAGCCAGCUAAUCAAAGACGACCCAUUCUCCAGUUUUAACAAUAUUCUAUUUCAUGAUUAGCAAACAAGCUGUCAGCCUCGCUACGUUUCCUCACAGAUGUUAGGUUAAUCUAGGUAAUUCUGAUGACAACAACGUUUUGAGUGUAGUAUUGUAUUCUGUAAAACAGCUCCAUAAAGCAGCAGGGCAGUUUUACCUGUGAACUGCUUGUUUCAGGACGCAAUACAGUCCAGACAGGAAAGCAAUGAAGAGUAUGCAUCAAUUUGCACCAGGCGACUGAGAGUCAUGUCACAGCAGGCAAUACAACCACAUCUAACAUGGUAUAGAGCAGUCAUGUUUGCACCUUACUCAGACCAACUUAGUUAAAGGAUGUUUUCAGGUUUUUAUAGUUUUCCCUUUCCUUUUUCACACGGCACAUUAUGAGAGAUCUGAACUGGAACGCAGAAGAUGAUGACAUGCUUCCCCAGCACAUCUCCACUUCCUCAUGAAAGCCAGAGAAAACCCAGCAACACAGGUAUAGUGGUCUACACAUGCUACGCAUCAAGAAACACGAAGAUCUGCUUGGAGAACAUGGGCAGAUUUAUCAGCAACAUUUUAAGAUGGCUGCAAGUGUUCACCACCUCCUCAACCAGGCUGGCAGGACCCAAGUCUCCACUACAGCUUCCCCACUCCGUCUGCAGAGCUAAGCCACAAUGGCUGACAGUGGUGGGUCUGCACAAUAGCACCCAAGAACAGUGUGAGAAGCCUGUGUGAAUCAUCACCCUCUCUUGGACUAAGAAAAGAAGGCAAUAUUAUCCCCACUUUAUGGAUGAAGCACAGAAGAUUAAGUGUCAUGCCACAAAUCAAAGAGAAGUCUUCAGAAGAGCUCCUGAACCAAAGUCUGGUACUUUCACCACAUGAUAAUUUUCCUCUGCCAGGUAUUUAAAUUUUACCCGGUAGUUCAGGAGCUCCCGUUAGCACUGAAUUCAUUCCACCACCUGUCACCAAUGAAAGUGAAAGAGAUUAGAGUUCAUGAAGAAAAUCCCAUCUGUCCCCUCAUUAUCACAGCUUCCCCUUACUGAAGAUGGGACAUGGCUACAGAGUGCUGGCGAAGGAACUGAGAGUUCAAGUGGAAGGGAAAGAGCAAAUGACAUUGCAGAGGCCACAGCAAUUUCCAGAGAACAAUAGAGGAAGUCUCUGUCGUUUUGCUUGCUCUGCCUGACACAGACACCAGUCUGGACCUUGAGAUAAUCAUUGUGAAAGACUUGAGGGUGAACACAUGACAGGAUGGGUUUCUGGAAAAGUGCCAUUUUGUCUUGGUGUACAUUCAUUAGAUUUUAAACCAAGGUGACAGAAAGAAUUAAUCUGUAUUUCUAAUAUUUUGUAAAUAAUGUUUCAUUACUAUUCUCAUGCAUUGAGUUUUAUACUUUACAAGUGAUUGUGAUUUGCACCUACUGACUUUGCUUUCCAUGCUUGCACUGACACUGAACAUCUUUUAAGCUAACACAUUUGCCCUCUCCUUAACCCUUAGGAGGAUGUGGGCUGAUUUCACCCAGAUAACAAUCUCAGUGUCAGAAAGUAGCAGCAUAAAAUGUAACAUUUGAGAGGAAUAAUGAUAAAGCUAUGCAGGGGAACCAUAGGGCCCAGAAAACAUCGUUUCAUGUGCUCAGAAGCUUUUCUCUGUACAGGCAUAAUAAUAUCACAGCAAUGAGGAUUAUACAGCCUGUUUGCAAUCCUUCCUUGAUAUAAGAGUAAAGGCUGCAAAGGUGUGAAAGAUGAAUCCUGAGAUACCCACUAUAUAUGCAUACACCUUGGAAUGAAAUGAAAAUCGAGUGAACAGAUUUUCUUCAAAUAUUGCUUUGCUAUUAGUGUGAUAGUGUUAGCUACUGCUCAAAUGAUGCUUAGUAUGCUACAUGUGAAUGGAGGAGAUUGUGCUUCUGCAUUUUCCAAAGCUAAAUACAGGAAGUGUACAUCAUAAAUGUAUGGCUGUAUACAGAUGUAUUUACUCACCUUUCUACACACAGUAUGGAACUACUACAACUACACAGUUGGUUCUUCGCCUUCUUCCAAGUCCUUUUGGAAAUUUUCACCUGUGGAUAUUGGUUAAACCCCAUUAAAAAACAAAAUAGCUUCUUAAGCAGGUAAGAUUGCUACUAUAAAGAUAGCUUGUGUUUCUGACAGAAAGGAAUGUUCAGUCUAUUAAUCCAGGUUUGGGUGAUUUAUAUUAAUUAUUAACACAUUUCUAAUGAGAUCCUAGGAAUGCCUGGGAGUCCAUGAAGCACAAAAAUCCUCGUAACUUCAGUUUGGAAACAUCUUUAUCUGUCCUGGGUUAAUACUCUGUGAGUAUUAAAUCCAAGUCUUGGCAUUCUGAAGCCAUCUGUAUUCUGAUCUUUUGCUGGGCAGUCCAGCAGGAGGUGCUCCUACAUGGAAGAUGUGACAAACUAAUUUUAACCUCCCAAGCUACAAAAUGACCUAAUUCCUAAUAAAUGUUGAAGAGAUUCUGAUUAAUAGAAAUGAUCUUUUGGGCAGCUUAAAUCUGUGUUUUCUGUCUCAUAUGGGCCUGAACAGUUCUUCUUUAUACUAGAGCAAUAGCAUGACAUUGAAUGUCCAGGGGUUUGGAAAUGGGAAGCCUCUAUGAACACACAACCCCACUGAAAUUUAUUUUAAAACUCCUACUGACUUCACUGGGGCAAAAAUUUCAUCCUUCAUUCUGGAAUGUCCAAUAAAUGCAUGUGAUAACUCAUCCCAGCUUGUUCCAAUAACGGCUUUCCUGAACAGGACACAGUUGUCCCCAGAGCAGGUAGCAACAGCUCAGCUUCUGAUGUGGGAGGCAUGUGAUCUAUUUCAAUCAAUCAAUGAGCUAUAGAUCAAUAAGACAGGAAGGUUCAGUGUUAAAAAACUAAAUAAUGAUUGCUUUCUAUUUCAACUUCAAGUCUCAGUUGCCCAUCUUUGCUGAAUCUGCAAGACAGAGCACAAAGAUAAACAACGAGAAAUAAAAAAUAGAGAGCACAUCACUUAUAGCAAGACCAAAGGCAAACAGAAGAUCCUAUGCCUUUUGUACAUGAAAACGCAGCAAUGUAGUCAGUAAAUGCAGGAAAAAAAAAGUGGUUUUAUUUCACAACUUAGUUUUAGUAUUUGAAAAUGCAUGUACUCAUUCUCACCUGAUUUAAACAUUAUGAUACAAAAUUAAUGUCCUGAUUAUGUAGAUGGUCACCCCAAUGACCACUUCCAUGAUGAAGAACUAAUAUCAGUGUGCACAAGCAGUCAGCCACAGGAGGUAAUGUUCUAAGCAAAAACUAUUUUUAAAUGCUGAUUGACAGACUUUAUAUAAAAAGGUGAUCGAAGUAAUACUCAGAACAUCAAAACCGCAGGGGUAUAAGCACUGCAGUUAAAGUCUAGGAUUCAGAAAAGUUUUAUGUUGUCUUCAGAACCUGUAAGACUUAGCAUUCAUAAUAUGCAAUCCUUUGAGCAUUAUGAAUUAACCAAGUAAGCUUUUAAAACUCAACGUCAGCGU